rnacentral:rRNA from 1 species
UACGAAGGGGGCUAGCGUUGCUCGGAAUCACUGGGCGUAAAGCGCACGUAGGCGGAUCUUUAAGUCAGGGGUGAAAUCCCGGGGCUCAACCUCGGAACUGCCUUUGAUACUGGGGAUCUCGAGUCCGGAAGAGGUUGGUGGAACUCCGAGUGUAGAGGUGAAAUUCGUAGAUAUUCGGAAGAACACCAGUGGCGAAGGCGGCCAACUGGUCCGGUACUGACGCUGAGGUGCGAAAGCGUGGGGAGCAAACAGG